GACUCCAUGGCGCAAUGGUAGCGCGUUCGACUCCAGUAUUUGGCUAUCGAAAGGUUGCGUGUUCAAGUCACGUUGGGGUCA
rnacentral:tRNA from 1 species